CAGGAUGGUAAUGACCAGUAGUAGAAGUAAUAUUCAGGAUGGUAAUGACCAGUAGUAGAAGUAAUAUCCAGCAUGGUAAUGACCAGUAGUAGAAGUAAUAUCCAGGAUGGUAAUGACCAGUAGUAGAAGUAAUAUUCAGGAUGGUAAUGACCAGUAAUAGAAGUAAUAUUCAGGAUGUUCAUUACCAUCCUGGAUAUCACUUCUACUUCUGGUCAUUUUAAAAUACAGAUGAUAAUCUGUCUGUUCCCUGUAUUCCAGUAGAAGUAAUAUCCAGGGUGAAUAGAACAUAAUUUUUUUUUUUACAUGGUCGGACAUCUCUCCAGAUUUAGCGACCAAUAGUUUUUACAACAACGUUGGAUGUUUCUAUUCUGGUCAGUCUGCAGUCAGUGUCACUCAUUAUUCUUUAUUUAGUAUAAAUAUUAAUUCUAUGCUUGCAUCGUCCUAUAAACUCAUAUGUAGGCUAAUAACUCGCUCUCUCGCUCUCCCUCUCAUCGUAUUAAUUGUCGUGCGUGCUCCAGCAUAAUUCGAGGGAGAGAGGGAAGACGACACGCUGUUGAAGGGAGAGGAGGGAAGAGAUGCUGUUGAUUUGAACCUGCGCCGCCAGAACACGGGAUAAUAUAUCUAGCUGAGGAUCUACCUACCUGAACAAGGUGCUCCGUAUUGAACAGGCACCUGCCGUUCUUUGACCACCCAUCACCACCAUGUCAAAGGACCAGUGUGACUCCGUAGCAGUGAGCGUCGAGUCCCUCUUAACCGACGCAGUUAAGAUGCAGUCCCAGUGUCGGGAGCGUAGUGAGCAGCUAGCUGUGGCCGCCGCCGCACUGCGGGAGGAGUCGGCGUGCUUGAGAGAACAGUGUCAAGCCACCCAGCUGGACAUGGCUCAGAUGAGAAGACAGCUAGAACAACUGCUGGACAGCAAGGCUCAGAUGGAGGCCAGUGAUCGAAUGCACCGCAAACUCAGCAAGACACUCUAAAGGGAAAGGAGGGGAAGGAGAGUGAGAAAAUAAGAACGGCUGGAUAACAAAGCUCCGACAGACCCGGGAAAACUUAGCAGUUAAAAUGUCUCCUGUUCUCUAACGCUAUCUAUCUUCCGUCUCUAAACAAUAGACUUUAUUCUUCAUAAGCAGUUAUUAUGCUAGCUAUAUAGGCCCUCAAGUCUCUUCACGGAGAUUGAAUGUUUAUGGGUCUGAAUAAAUAACUGCUAUAGUCUACCGUCAUUGGUCAUUCGCGCUUCUUUCAAACCCGCAAGUGCUAUUGGCUGCUGUAUGUAACAUUCGGCAGAAAAGAAGGAUCCUUCUAUUGGUAUAAGAAAUGCUAAAAAAAUAAUACCCCAAAAACAUAUUCUAGUUUUUCCUGCAUGGGACCAAGAGCUAAGGAGCGUUUUUUAAAGGGGAGGCGAGCGGAGCUCAGGCGCUUGGGUAUUACGCAAGAGACAGAAGCUAUAAAUUUGAAGCUUAUUAGACAUAAUCCAUAAUUAAUUAACAUAUAUAUAUAUAUAUAUAAGGCUAUAAUAUAAGGCUAAUACUGAAUUGAAUGUAUUACCUGAAAGAGGUAGGCUAGGACAUUAUAUAUAAAUAUAUAUAUUUAGGGCUAGGACAUCUAUAAUUAAUGUAUAUAGGGCUAGGACAUCAAUAUAUAGGAGAUAUAUAUAUAUAUAUAUAUAUAUAUAUAUAUAUAGGACACAGUUGAAGUCGGAAGUUUACAUACACUUAGGUUGGAGUCAUUAAAACUCGUUUUUCAACCACUCUACAAAUUUCUUAAAGUAAUUUUUCCAACAAUUGUUUACAGACAGAUUAUUUCACUUAUAAUUCACUGUAUCACAAUUCCAGUGGGUCAGAAGUUUACAUACACUAAGUUGAAUGUGUCUUUAAACAGCUUGGAAAAUUCCAGAAAAUGAUGCCAUGGCUUUAGAAGCUUCUGAUGUUAGGCUAAUUGACGUAAUUUGAGUCAAUUGGAGGUGUACCUGUGGAUGUAUUUCAAGGCCUACCUUUAAACUCAGAACCUCUUUGCUUGACUUAAUGGGAAAAUCUAAAGAAAUCAGCCAAGACCUAAAAAAAAAAAAAUUGUAGACCUCCACAAGUCUUGUUCAUCCUUGGGAGCAAUUUCCAAACGCCUGAAGGUACCUCGUUCAUCUGUACAAACAAUAGUAUGCAAGUGUGAACACCAUGGAACCACGCAGCCGUCAUACCGCUCAGGAAGGAGACGCAUUCUGUCUCCUAGAGAUGAUCGUCCUUUGGUACGAAAAGUGAAAAUCAAUCCCAGAACAACAGAAAAUGACUUUGUGAAGAAGCUUGUGGAAGACUACCCAAAAUGUUUGACCUAAGUUAAACAAUUUAAAGGCAAUGCUACCAAAUACUAAUUGAGUGUAUGUAAACUUCUUACCCACUGGGAAUGUGAUGAAAGAAAUAAAAGCUGAAAUAAAUCAUUCUCUCUACUAUUAUUCUGACAUUUCACAUUCUUAAAAUAAAGUGGUGAUCCUAACUGACCUAAGACAGGGAAUUUUUACUAGGACUAAAUGUCAGGAAUUGUGAAAAACUGAGUUUAAAUGUAUUUGGCUAAGGUUUAUGUAAACUUCCAACUUCAACUGGAUAUAUAUAUAUACUGUAUAAAAAGUCGGAAGUUAACAUACACUUAGGUUGAAGUCUUUAAAACUCGUAUUUCAACCACUCCACAAAUGUAUUGUUAACAAACUAUAGUUUUGGCAAGUCGGUUAGGACAUCUACUUAUUGUUUACAUAUGGCUCAGACAUCUAUAUAGGGCCAGUGGCGACCUGUCAAUCAGGGCAGAGCCCCACCUGUUUUGAGCCCACCCUGUUUAGUUAUUUUGGCAUUAAUACGUGUCACAUAUCAGUUUGCAAACAAUCUAAAAAAUAAUAAUUAAUAAAGCCGCAUACAAACAUGGUCUCUACUUUUCUUUCUUGA
rnacentral:lncRNA from 1 species